rnacentral:rRNA from 1 species
AUUGAACGCUGGCGGCAUGCCUUACACAUGCAAGUCGAACGGUAACAGGUCUUCGGAUGCUGACGAGUGGCGAACGGGUGAGUAAUACAUCGGAACGUGCCUAGUAGUGGGGGAUAACUACUCGAAAGAGUGGCUAAUACCGCAUGAGAUCUAAGGAUGAAAGCAGGGGAUCGCAAGACCUUGUGCUACUAGAGCGGCCGAUGGCAGAUUAGGUAGUUGGUGGGAUAAAAGCUUACCAAGCCGACGAUCUGUAGCUGGUCUGAGAGGACGAUCAGCCACACUGGGACUGAGACGCGGCCCAGACUCCUACGGGAGGCAGCAGUGGGGAAUUUUGGACAAUGGGCGCAAGCCUGACCCAUCAAUGCCGCGUGCAGGAUGAAGGCCUUCGGGUUGUAAACUGCUUUUGUACGGAACGAAAAGCCCUGGGUUAAUACCCUGGGGUCAUGACGGUACCGUAAGAAUAAGCACCGGCUAACUACGUGCCAGCAGCCGCCGCGGUAA